ACUCCUACGGGAGGCAGCAGUGGGGAAUAUUGGACAAUGGGCGGAAGCCUGAUCCAGCAACGCCGCGUGAGGGAUGACGGCCUUCGGGUUGUAAACCUCUUUCAGUAUCGACGAAGGCCCGGUUGAUGGGUUUGACGGUAGGUACAGAAGAAGCACCGGCCAACUACGUGCCAGCAGCCGCGGUAAUACGUAGGGUGCGAGCGUUGUCCGGAAUUAUUGGGCGUAAAGGGCUCGUAGGCGGUUUGUCGCGUCGGGAGUGAAAGCCAUCCCUCA
rnacentral:rRNA from 1 species